GGAUGAGGCUGCGAGCCAUCAGCUAGUUGGUGAGGUAAUAGCUCACCAAGGCGACGACGGCUAGGGGACCUGAGAGGGUGACCCCCCACACUGGGACUGAGACACGGCCCAGACUCCUACGGGAGGCAGCAGUGAGGAAUAUUGCACAAUGGGCGCAAGCCUGAUGCAGCGACGCCGCGUGGAUGAAGAAGGUUUUCGGACUGUAAAAUCCUUUUCUGUGUGACGAGAGUGGACGGUAGCACAGGAAUAAGUCUCGGCUAACUACGUGCCAGCAGCCGCGGUAAAACGUAGGAGGCAAGCGUUAUCCGGAGUUACUGGGCGUAAAGCGCGUGUAGGUGGGUUGGUAAGUUACUUAUAAAAGCUCCUGGCUAAACUAGGAGAGGUUGAGUGAUACUGCCAGUCUUGAAUAGAGGAGAGGUUGACGGAAUUCCGCGUGUAGUGGUGAAAUGCGUAGAGAUGCGGAAGAACACCAGUGGCGAAGGCGGUCAACUGGCCUCAUAUUGACACUCAGACGCGAAGGCAUGGGUAGCGAACGGGAUUAGAAACCCCGGUAGUCCAUGCAAUAAACGAUGCACACUGGAUGUUCGUUGUCCUACGGGGCAAUGAGUAUCGAAGCUAACGCGUUAAGUGUGCCGCCUGGGGAGUACGGUCGCAAGGCUAAAACUCAAAGGAAUUGACGGGGGCCCGCACAAGCAGCGGAGCGUGUGGUUUAAUUCGAGGGUACGCGAAGAACCUUACCUGGGUUUGACAUGCAAGUGGUACUGAGGUGAAAGCCGAGGGACUCUUCGGAGAGCUUGCACAGGUGCUGCAUGGUUGUCGUCAGCUCGUGCCGUGAGGUGUUCGGUUAAGUCCGCAAACGAGCGCAACCCUUAUCGUCAGUUGCCAGCGAUGCCCCUCGGGGCGGACGGGAACUCUGACGAGACUGCCGGCCAAAACCGGAGGAAGGUGGGGAUGACGUCAAGUCCUCAUGGCCCUUAUGCCCAGGGCUACACACGUGCUACAAUGGCUGGUACAAAGGGCCGCUAGCUCGCGAGAGUCAGCUAAUCCCAAAAAACCAGUCUCAGUUCGGAUUGGAGUCUGCAACUCGACUCCAUGAAGCUGGAAUCGCUAGUAAUCGGAGAUCAGCACGCUCCGGUGAAUACGUUCCCGGGCCUUGUACACACCGCCCGUCACACCAUGGGAGUCGGUUGCUCCAGAAGUGGGUAUCCUAACCUUCGGGAGGGAGCUUACCAAGGAGUGAUCGGUGACUGGGGUG
rnacentral:rRNA from 1 species